rnacentral:rRNA from 1 species
CACGAAGGGGGCUAGCGUUGCUCGGAAUCACUGGGCGUAAAGCGCACGUAGGCGGAUCCUUAAGUCGGGGGUGAAAUCCUGGAGCUCAACUCCAGAACUGCCUUCGAUACUGAGGAUCUCGAGUCCGGGAGAGGUGAGUGGAACUGCGAGUGUAGAGGUGAAAUUCGUAGAUAUUCGCAAGAACACCAGUGGCGAAGGCGGGUCACUGGCCCGGUACUGACGCUGAGGUGCGAAAGCGUGGGGAGCAAACAGG